rnacentral:rRNA from 1 species
AGAGUUUGAUCCUGGCUCAGAACGAACGCUGGCGGCGUGCCUAACACAUGCAAGUCGAGCGAGAACGCCUGCUUCGGCAGGUUAGUAAAGCGGCGAACGGGUGAGUAACACGUGAGUUACCUACCCCCCAGUAGGGGAUAACACUUCGAAAGGGGUGCUAAUACCGUGUACGGUCCCAACCGUUCCUGCGGAUGGGACGAAAGGUGGCCUCUCUAUAGAAGCUGCCGCUGGGGGAUGGGCUCGCGUCCCAUUAGCUAGUUGGUAGGGUAACGGCCUACCAAGGCAAUGAUGGGUAGCUGGUCUGAGAGGACGAUCAGCCACACUGGAACUGAGACACGGUCCAGACUCCUACGGGAGGCAGCAGUGGGGAAUAUUGCACAAUGGGGGAAACCCUGAUGCAGCAACGCCGCGUGCGGGAUGAAGGCCUUCGGGUUGUAAACCGCUGUCAGGGGGGAAGAAAUCGCUCCGGUGAAUAGCCGGAGUGGAUGACGGUACCCCCAGAGGAAGCCCCGGCUAACUCCGUGCCAGCAGCCGCGGUAAGACGGAGGGGGCAAGCGUUGUUCGGAAUCAUUGGGCGUAAAGCGCGCGUAGGCGGUCGGGUCAGUCGGACGUGAAAGCCCAGGGCUCAACCCUGGAAGUGCGUUCGAUA